rnacentral:lncRNA from 1 species
AUGUAUCCGUCACCAUCUCCAGAGCUCCUCGAUGACUCUAAAGAAGACUGUGUCCUGAUUAUCGAUGUUCCUUUGUCGCCUGACGCCUCAUGUAAAGCCCAGAAAUCUGACACUGCAUCAGAGAAUGACGGAGACUUAAAUGAGAUGACAUCUGUGAUACUUCAUUCUCCGCAAAUACCCCAAAACAAAAAGAUGGUAAAUGUUGCUGCUUCACUCUCAUUAAAGGAAAAUGAGAUUUGUAGUAGUUGUGCAGUUCCAAACAAUCAAAAAGUACAGAUUUGUGAUGGCGAGUGCAAAAAUGAAGUUAUCUUAUCUAAAUGUUUGGAAGACCUUGAAAGUUUCCAGCCUGCUGAGACAGCAGAGAACAUUUCUGAAGCUGCAACAUUUCCUGGUAAAGACCACAGCCUGAACAAGUGUGAUCCAUCCAGUCAUGCUGACGAAAUGAAUCCACCACAGCCAACAGAUAAUUCACUUCGUUAUAAACCACUUGCUGCUAAGGCUCCAGUCCUUUACUACACACCCGAACAUGGACUAACAGAGCAGCUGGCUCAGGACAAGGUUCAAAUCCACUGCCUUCCUGUUCAAAGCAUGCCAUCAGUGAUGCAAGGAAGCCAGCAGAUAUCCAACAAACUUCUAGAGAAGUCACACAAGCAAGCUGCGGGUAACCCGAAUCAAGUCGAGGCAGAUCAGAACACCAGCCAGUCUCAAAACGUUCCUUCUGUAAAACCUCAGAUCAACAUUGAAUUACCUGAGCAGUUUCAGAAAGCAGAAAAUGAAAUGGUGUUGAUGAUCAACUCCAGCCCUGAUGAAAACGGGGAAAUGGAAGAACUCGACUAUUCAGAAAUGGAGCUUUCUGACAGCGAUCCGAUGGAGGAAUGUUAUCGGAUCUUCAUGGAGGCCAAAAACGGAGACGAAUCUCAUCCUGAUGGAUCUGUUGAAGCUGAAACGUUUGUGGAGAAGCAAACAGUAAAAUCUCCACUCCAAGUCCUACCAGGAAAGAAGAGGGUGGCUCAUGAAGCCAAGAAUCUAGAGGUACAGUAAGUGCCCCCCCCCCCCCCCCCCCCCCCCCC